rnacentral:lncRNA from 1 species
CUAAGACAUUGGAUAAAAUCAUUCUGGACCCCAAUAUGAACCUUUGGAAAGGAGGGUACUAGGCAUAUGACCUCCUAGGUUCUUUCAAUUCAGUCAAGUGGCCAUAUAAAGAGGGUUCUGUCAACAGAGGGCCCAUAAGAUUAUAAUGGAGCUGAAAAUUUCUAUCGCCUAGUGAUGUUGUAGCCAUCCCUUCUCCUGCAGUUGUUUUUUCUUGUCUCUUGCCUUUUCAGCCUUCACGUUCACUCACCACUCACCUACUGAGCAACUUCCAGUCCUGCAAGCUCUACUCAUGUCCAUCAGAUGGUUUUGGAUGAUGUACCUAUAACGACAAGAGCUUAAGAGUUCACUCCAAGUUCUUCAUAAAACAAAACAAAAGGCCUGAGAGGCAGAGUCUUGG